UUUUAUAAAUAAAAUAAAUUAAAAAUUAUUUAUAAAUAAUUAAUAUUUUAAUUUUUUUAUUUAUUUUAUUGGGGUGAUAAAAAAAUAAAUAUAACUUUUUUUUAAAAAUAUACAUAAAUAAGUGAUUUUUUGAUCCAAUAUUAUUGAUUAUAAGAAAAA
rnacentral:rRNA from 1 species